AGAAGUUCUCAGCAGUACAAUCCACAGGAGGAUCUACAGCCACCUAUGCUGUCUGUGAUUUCACCUCUUCUUCUUGGCAUGUUUCGUAAACUACUGAACUUGCAAAUAUCAGGAUACCAGGAUGUAUGGGAGAUAAGCCAAAGUGAUGAAGCUGAAGCAAGAUGAGGAAGCACAGAGAUGAUAUACAGUCCCAAAAAGAUGCAUGGGCUACAUUCAAGUUCUCCCUAACUGAAAGACAAUUAAAAAAACCAGGAUGUGACAAGGCUGUCUUACUCAUUCCUGACACAGAUCCAUCCAGAACACUAAUACUAUUCCUCCAAAAAGGUGAAGUCACCUCAUGCUUCUGGC
ensembl:lncRNA